CGCAAUUGAAAAGGGUGGCGAGUGAAAUCACUACGGGUUCAAAUUAACCCUAAUAAUAGUUACAACCUGCGUACAAAAAGGACGUUUAAGAAGAACAAAACACAAAAUACAAGAUGAUCCUUGGAAUUACCAGUGUGGCAUACCUGACGCCGGGACUUCAAUCAACACCGCGAGAGAUAGCCUAAUUACCCUUGAAAAUCAAGGGAUGGCGAUUUUUAAAGGAUUUCAAAUGUGUGAAAUAUGUGAAAGACAUUCAAAUGUUUGCAGAAAGAUAAGCUGAGAGAUGUUGUAGUGCUUGAUGGCCCACUCUUCAAGCAGAACUGUGCCCCUGGCAUUAAGGAAUGCUGAAUGGACGUCUACUCUAGAUCCUGCCACCGGCGUCGCUGUUUGUGUUCCUGAGCAGUGCUUCAUCUGAAGAGAGCUGCUGCUGGCUUUACUGCUGCCACCUCUUUGAACCCCUUCCUUUGUGAUCUUAGUGCUUCUAACCCGUCAGCUGUAUGAAGAGCUUUUCUAUUUAAAUCCCUCUUGGUUGUGUACACUGCUGCAGCAAUCAACCAGUAACAAAGGGCGUUUCUGUUAAUAAUUAAUAUGUUGCUUGUUGUAUGCUGGCAAAGAACUGGACUACUGUAAGAAUAAGUGUUUCUUGAUCAGUAUAUUGCACUUACUGUAGUCAUACUGUAUAAACUAAUUUAGUUUAUUUCAAUUAUUUUACUAUUAAACCAUAUGCAGUGAGC